GAACAGACACAAAGAAACACAAAGUCAAGUAAAUACUGAUUGGAUGUUAAGACUUGGUCUGUACCUUUUAAUCAGGAGCAUCUCGUAUACCAGACAGUCCAUCUUUCCUUGGCAUUUCCUCAGAACUGCAAAAUUCAUGGCUAAGUCAAGAGAUCUAGGACAUAUUUUUUCAUCGAUC